rnacentral:rRNA from 1 species
AUUGAACGCUGGCGGCAGGCCUAACACAUGCAAGUCGAACGAGUGGCGGACGGGUGAGUAAUGUAUGGGAAACUGCCUGAUGGAGGGGGAUAACUACUGGAAACGGUAGCUAAUACCGCAUACCAUCGGAUGUGCCCAGAUGGGAUUAGCUAGUAGGUGGGGUAAAGGCUAACCUAGGCGACGGUCCCUAGCUGGUCUGAGAGGAUGACCGGCACCACUGUAAAUGCGACACGGUCCAGACUCCGACGGGAGGCAGACGUGGGGAAUUUUGCAAAAUGGGCGCAAGCCUGAUGCAGCCAUGCCGCGUGUAUGAAGAAGGCCUUCGGGUUGUAAAGUACUUUCAGCGGGGAGGCGUUACCCGCAGAAGAAGCACCGGCUAACUCCGUGCCAGCAGCCGCGGUAAUAC